rnacentral:rRNA from 1 species
UACGAAGGUCCCAAGCGUUGCUCGGAAUCACUGGGCGUAAAGGGUGCGUAGGCGGGUCUUUAAGUCAGGGGUGAAAUCCUGGAGCUCAACUCCAGAACUGCCUUUGAUACUGAGGAUCUUGAGUUCGGGAGAGGUGAGUGGAACUGCGAGUGUAGAGGUGAAAUUCGUAGAUAUUCGCAAGAACACCAGUGGCGAAGGCGGCUCACUGGCCCGAUACUGACGCUGAGGCACGAAAGCGUGGGGAGCAAACAGG